GCUGGGUGAGGUGGCACAUGCCUGUAAUCUCAGAGACUUGAGAGGCUGAGGCAGGAGGAUCACAAAUUGGAGGCCAGCCUCAGCAACUUAGUGAAACCCUGUCUCAA
rnacentral:sRNA from 1 species